rnacentral:snRNA from 1 species
CCCCUUACCUGGCGGGGGACAGGCCGUGGUCAGGAAGGGGAUUCUCCCUGGACGAGGCUAGUCCACCGCACUUCGGCGGCGCUGACCCCUGCGAUUUCCCCACACGCGGGGCCCUGAUCUGCGGUGGUGUUA